rfam:Hordeum vulgare subsp. vulgare, WGS project CAJW01000000 data, contig: morex_contig_55644
CAUAUACUUCAUCCGUUUCAAAAUUCUUAUCUUAAGUUUGUCUAGAAAUGAAUGUAUCUAAAUAGUAAAACGUGAUUAGAUACAUUCAUAUUUAAACAAAUCUAAGACAAAAAUUUUGGGACGGAGAAGUACUAA